UGGUGUUCUCUCAAUGAGUUUCAUGAGGUAGUCACCGUAAAUGGUUUUCCCUUCACAGGUGUGCCAUGUCAAGGUUAAUUUGUGGAAUGUCUUGCCUUAUUAAUGGAAAAAGCAAAGGGUGGCUACUUUG